UACAGAGGUCCCAAGCGUUGUUCGGAUUCAUUGGGCGUAAAGAGCUCGUAGGCGGCUUGCUAAGUCAGGUGUGAAAUCUCCAGGCUCAACCUGGAGUCGCCACCUGAUACUGGUAUGGCUUGAGUCCGGUAGGGGAUCACGGAAUUCCUGGUGUAGCGGUGAAAUGCGCAGAUAUCAGGAGGAACACCGGUGGCGAAGGCGGUGAUCUGGGCCGGCACUGACGCUGAGGAGCGAAAGCGUGGGGAGCGAACAGG
rnacentral:rRNA from 1 species